CCCACCACCAUGCCCGGCUAACUUUUUGUAUUUUGUUUAGUAGAAACGGGGUUUCACCGUGUUAGCCAGGAUAGUCUCGAUCUCCUGACCUCGCGAUCUGCCCGUCUCGGCCUCCCAAAGUGCUGGGAUUACAGGCGUGAGCCACUGCGCCCAGCCACCCCUUUUAAUCUUAUAAGUGUUCUUGAAUACUUUUGAGAACCUUAAUAAAUGGUAACUCUCCUACAAUCUUUAAAGGGAAACUACGUGUAAAUAAAAUUGAGGUUUACAGUGCUAGUUCAUUGUGUUGAAGAUUUUCAUAACAUAUGAGAUGAAUAUUAUUAUCCUCACUUAGCAAACAAGGAAACUGAGGCUAAGAAAGGUUAAAUGACUUACUUCUUCUAGUCACUCAGUUGAGAGGAAGCAUCAUUUAUCUCUUUACGCUGAAGAACAUGACUAGAAUAGCAUCUCCUGGGAGGUGCUUAGUAACUGUUGAAUGAUGCCAGCUACUUAGCUCUGAAAAAAAUACAGUCAUCAAACAGUUCAAGGGGAAAAACACCUUUUCAUCAGUUACUUCAAUAUUUCAGUAAAAAUGGAAUUUUAAAUCUUGGUCAUCUCCCCUACCCCAAACCAUCUCCUCCACUACUGCACUAUAAUUUCAUUUCACUUGGUAGGUGUUAUACCAGGGAUGGUAGCGACCUUCAUUGACCACAGAAAAACAAAAUUGUGGAAAUAGCUUUCUAAAUGCAAGAGUGAGUGAAUUUCUAAGCAAGGAUAUAAAUGUGUUCCUGGCCGGGCGCGGUGGCUCAUACCUGUAAUCCCAGCACUUUCGGAGGCCGAGGUGGGCAGAUCACCUGAGGUCAGGAGUUUGAGACCAGCCUGGUUAACAUGGUGAAACCCCCUUUCUACUAAAAAUACAAAAAAAAUGACCGGGUGUGGUGGCUCGUGCCUGUAAUCCCAGCUACUCGGGAGGCUGCGGCAGGAGAAUUGCUUGAACCCGGAAGGCGGAGGUUGUAGUGAGCCAAGAUGGCGCCAUUGCACUCCAGCUUGGGCAACAAGAGCGAAAUUCAGUCUCAAAAUAAAUAAAUAAAUGUGUUCCUUACCUUUAAGAUGGCAGUAAUACACUAGACACUAGAAUACAGAAAACGUUUGUGACUCCUCUGGAUAUAUUGUGUAAUUUAUGAAUCAUAUUAGUAAGCUUUUACAUUAACAUUGAUAACAGAAAUAAGGUGGCAAAAAGAGGUCUGCUGAGAUCUACCCUGAGAACAAAUAUCUGGUCUUUUCAUAUGAGCUAUUGGGACUGAAGAGACCAUACAAAAUCAGUGUUUUUAAUGGACAUAAGAAAGUCUGUUCUAAACUUACAGAUAAGAUUUUCAUAAGGAAAUGUGAAAAUAUUCAUUCAACUGUCUUGAAAUCAUAAUGCGUUCAAUAAAGAAAGAAGUAAUAAUUGUUAUUAUUAUCAUUCUAGUGUUUGCCUUUUAAAACAACUGAUAAUAUAACUUUAUGUAAUGUGGGCCAUUCACUUGAAGGAUUGUAUUCUAUCAUGAAGAUUAAGGAUACUGAGAAAUGUUUUGAUGCUUAGUUUAAUAUUUUAAUGAUGUUUAAUGUUUCUUUGACUUUGUAUUAUUUCAGGAUUGUUCAACCUUAAUUGAAAUCACUUGCAGUGGGUUUCCAUUCAAUGGUAAUACGAUCACUAGGUAUGAUGAAUACAUAGAAUAUAAAUUUAAGAUAUAAAUAUUCAUAUCAAAGAAUAAAGACCAAAUGUAAUUAAUUUUCAAUUAUGGGAAAGUUAAAAAAGGAAUAAGUAAGGUCCAUUAUUUUUUGCAAUCAAUGAAAAUAAGAAGAGACAGAGGAAAAGUGUUACCUAAAAGAGCAUUUUAAUUGUUAUUUCUAGUUCAAAUCUAUCUGUUAAGAAUAAGGAAUUAUCAUAUUUUUAUUACAGUCUCACUAACCGAGUCUCUCUCUCUCCUAUUCUAUGUUAAGAAUAAGGAAUUAUCGUAUUUUGGUUACAGUCUAAACCACCGAAAGACAGGUGGUUCUCAAAGUUUCCUUCUUUCAGAAAGUUAAGAAUAUUUACCCCAGGUAGGCAGAGUGGAGGACCUUCCUUCUAAACUGAAACAUUAUUUAGGGAAGGCCUAAAGCAGCUUGGGAGGCCUGGGAAUCUGGCCAGGCUAAGGUUGUGCAAAACGACAGGAGCUAACAUUAACUGUGCCACUUCCCACUGCCUGGUCCUGUAAGGCUGGGCAGCUAAGCUUUAGCAGCAGUUAAUGCAAAAAGGAAUGAGAACUCAGACUCUAGAACUGGGGAUUUUUGAUUAAGAGAGGGUUCUGAAUAAAGGAAAGCUAAGGAAUCGUGUUUCGCUUGGCAAAGAGUAAGAAUGUAGACUCCAGAGGCUAAAGGCUUGUUUAUAAAUAUUUAAAGGUGAUGAGAAAAAUAUUUAGGAUAUUACUAUUUUUCUUGUUGCCAUUUACCAUUUUUAGCACACUGGUGCCUGUUAUUGUUAAGUAAUAUCUAGUCUAAUCUUUGUGAUUGCACCUUUGUAAGAACGGUAAAUGUUAUGUGCUUAUUCCUGGGAAGUAGAAAAAGGGCAUCAUUCAUCUAGGGAUUGGUGCAGAGGACUGAUCCUGGCAACCUUUGAUAGCAGAAGGAAAAGAAAAUGGGAGGGGUUGAUUUCUGGAACCUUUGCAAGUAAAGGAAAAAAGUAUAACUCUGUGAUGGCCAAAUUACAAAGGAUAAGUUGUCCGAGAAGUAUAUUUGAUGAGAAGGUCACAAAUCCUCAAAGGUUAGAAACAAAAAAAAGAAAGAAAGAAACAUAAAGGGAAUAGGAGGGAGGAGAUGGAGAUGCUGCAGUGUUCCAUUGGUUCUCUUCCUUGUAUUCUCUUUUCUGUGUCUCUAAUCUAAUCUAAUCCAGCUUCUGUGUAUCCUGGCAGUUCUCUACCUCCAUAUUCAAUGGAAAUACCUCACUCCUAGCAGCUGGGCCACAGAAGCUGAAUAUAGAAUCUGGGUAGUUAGCACUCUUUCUGAUAUGUGGAAAUAAUAGUAGGAGCAAUAUUUUUAGCAAUAUAAAAUAGAAAAAAAUGAAUUUUACCAUUCUAAUUAUGAGCAUCCUAUUUUGAUGUGCUCAGUAUAUGGCAGAACGGACUCUAAAUGCUUCUACGGGAAAAAUACACAGAGCACCAAACUUCCAAUUCACAAAUAAUUGUCUUGAAUACAAUAUAUGUGUAAAUUGUGGAAGGCCUAUAGUGUAUUAAACUGAAAAAGUUAUUUAUAAAAUGGGUUAUGAGAAGUUUUUAAAUUGAAGUAAUAAAUUGUUGGCAUAUAUUUUUCAGUUUUUAAGGAUGGCUGUGAUUUUUUGAUAACUGCAAAUUUCUCACCCAUUUUCUUAGUACCAGUUUUCUUUAUAUUCACUGGCCUCAAUUCAUUGUCAUUCUAAGAUUUCUCACUCUCAGAAAAUUAAAACCAUUAAAAGUAAAUGGAAUUAGUAAAAUUGUGAUAUAAGCAGAGCGAUACUCCAUCUCAAAAAAAAUUGUGAUAUAUGGAUCACUAUGAUUUUUAGGUGACAAAAUAAAAGUAUUCAUCACAACACAAAAAAAAACCAAAAUAGUCAUGAAUACUUCAGUGACACCAUCUGAAGGACAGCUCUCCACUGUCAUGUCCCUAAAAUUUUGGUUAAGAUUACCUAUGCUAGGCUGGGUGCCGUGACUCACGCCUGUAAUCCCAGCACUUUGAGGGGCCAAAGUGGGUGAAUCGCCUGAAGUUAGGAGUUCAAGACCCUUCCUAUCCAUGAGCAUGGAAAUGUUCUUGCAUUU
rnacentral:lncRNA from 10 species